GCUUGUCUCAAAGAUUAAGCCAUGCAUGUCUUAGUGUAAAUAACUCUUAUGAAACUGCGAAUGGCUCAUUAAAUCAGUUAUCGUUUAUUUGAUGGUUCCUUACUACAUGGAUAACUGUAGUAAUUCUAGAGCUAAUACAUGCGUAAAGUCCCGACUCUCGCGGGGAGGGAUGUAUUUAUUAGAUAAAAAACCAAUGCGGGCUCUGUCCGGUUUUGUGGUGAAUCAUAGUAACUUUUCGAAUGGCAUGACUUCACGUCGGCCAUAUUUCAUUCAAAUUUCUGCCCUAUCAGCUUUCGACGGUAGUGUAGUGGACUACCGUGGCGUUAACGGGUAACGGAGAAUUAGGGUUCGAUUCCGGAGAGGGAGCCUGAGAAACGGCUACCACAUCCAAGGAAGGCAGCAGG
rnacentral:rRNA from 1 species